GUGCUCACUUCGGCAGUACAUAUACUGAAACUGGAAUGAUACAGAGAAGAUUAGCAUGGCCCCUGUGCAAGGAUGACACAAAAAUUCAUGAAGCAUUCCAUUUUAUG
ensembl:snRNA U6 U6 spliceosomal RNA